CCUUAACUGAGAAUAAUAUGUAAUUUCUACCCCACAUGUUUCGUGGAAAAAUAGUAAAGACUUUGGAAAGCAAAAGUCUAUUCAUGGAGUUGUAAUAAUAAUACCAUAUUUGCAUUCACUGGAAAUCAUGGUCACUACUGUCUAAGUAUAUGUUCUGACAGACUUUCAAAGCUUCUCCUCUGAAGAAAAAAAUAAUUAACAGAAAUCACAAAAUCUUUCCUAUUCAAUCAUAGUAUGCUGUCUCUUUAAUAAGAAGGAAGAAAAAGGCACAGGAAUAAAUGUUAGUAUAAUUCACCAUCACCACCAGAAAAUAAUUAUUUACCUUGGCCAU
rnacentral:lncRNA from 1 species